UACGUAGGUGGCAAGCGUUGUCCGGAUUUAUUGGGCGUAAAGGGAGCGCAGGCGGUGAUUUAAGUCUGAUGUGAAAGCCCACGGCUCAACCGUGGAAUGGCAUUGGAAACUGGGUCACUUGAGUGCAGAAGAGGUAAGUGGAAUUCCAUGUGUAGCGGUGAAAUGCGUAGAUAUAUGGAGGAACACCAGUGGCGAAGGCGACUUACUGGUCUGUGAUUGACGCUGAGGCUCGAAAGCGUGGGGAUCAAACAGG
rnacentral:rRNA from 1 species